CGAACAGAGGGAGGCAAAACCGCGAGGUGGAGCAAAUCCCUAAAAGCCAUCCCAGUUCGGAUCGCAGGCUGCAACCCGCCUGCGUGAAGUUGGAAUCGCUAGUAAUCGCGGAUCAGCAUGCCGCGGUGAAUACGUUCCCGGGUCUUGUACACACCGCCCGUCACACCAUGGGAGCCGGUAAUACCCGAAGUCAGUAGUCUAACCGCAAGGAGGACGCUGCCGAAGGUAGGAUUGGCGACUGGGGUGAAGUCGUAACAAGGUAUC
rnacentral:rRNA from 1 species